rnacentral:misc_RNA from 1 species
GAUGAAGAACGUAGCGAAAUGCGAUACUUGGUGUGAAUUGCAGAAUCCCGUGAACCAUCGAGUCUUUGAACGCAAGUUGCGCCCGAAGCCAUUAGGCCGAGGGCACGCCUGCCUGGGCGUCACACGUCGUUGCCCCCCCAUCUACUCCUUCGGGAUUGCGGGGGGCGGAUGAUGGCCUCCCGUGCGCCUCGCCGCGCGGUUGGCAUAAAUGCCAAGUCCUCGGCGACGCACGCCACGACAAUCGGUGGUUGCGAAACCUCGGUUGCCCGUCGUGUGCGGUCGUCGCGCAUCGAGGGCUCGAAAAAAUUGCCGGGUUCCGGCUCGGCUUUCAACGCGACCCCGGGUCAGGCGGGGUUACCCGCUGAAUUUAAGCAUAUCAAUAAGCGGAGGA